rnacentral:rRNA from 1 species
GACAGAGGGUGCAAACGUUGUUCGGAAUUACUGGGCGUAAAGCGCGUGUAGGCGGCUCUGCAAGUCGGAUGUGAAAGCCCUGGGCUCAACCUAGGAAGUGCACUCGAAACUGCAGAGCUUGAGUCUCGGAGAGGAUCGCGGAAUUCUCGGUGUAGAGGUGAAAUUCGUAGAUAUCGAGAGGAACACCGGUGGCGAAGGCGGCCUUCUGGACGGUGACUGACGCUGAGACGCGAAAGCGUGGGGAGCAAACAGG